GAGUUUGACAUGCUUGCUAAAUACCUUGUAUAAGAUCCUGUACCCUGUAUAAUGCAAUGUAUACACUGUAUAACACACCCUGUAUCCUGUUUAACACUGUAUUCUUUGAAUAACAGCCCGUAUCCUGUAUAAGACACAUUAUACCCUGUAUAACACACUAUGUAUCCUACAAAACAAUGACAAUUUCAAAACCCGCUAAAUCACCCAUAUUAGUGAUAUAUUUAGA